UAGAGGAACUGCCUGCGCCAAGCAGGAGGAAGGCGGGGAUGACGUCAAGUCCUCAUGGCCCUUACAGGUGGGGCUACACACGUGCUACAAUGGCGGUGACAAAGGGAUAAUCCCUAAAAGCCGUCUCAGUUCGGAUUGUCCUCUGCAACUCGAGGGCAUGAAGUUGGAAUCGCUAGUAAUCGUGGAUCAGCACGCCGCGGUGAAUACGUUCCCGGGCGUUGUACACACCGCCCGUCACACCAUGGGAGUUGGUUCUACCCGAAGGCGUUGCGCCGACCGCAAGGAGGCAGGCGACCACGGUAGUGUCAGCGACUGGGGUGAAGUCGUAACAAGGUAACCGU
rnacentral:rRNA from 1 species